rnacentral:lncRNA from 1 species
UGGAGGUAGAGAGAAAAGUAACUUUUCGUGGGCCCAACCCAACUCUAACCCAAAUAAACACCUCUUGGAUGGGUUAGUUUUUUUGUGGGUUAGAUGCAUCUAACCAACUCUAACCCUCUCUGUUUGGAUGUUUUGGGGUUAGAUUGAUCCAAUCUAAUCAACUCUAACUCUAACUCAUGGAUCCAAACGGGGCCACUGAAAAUAUUCCUCCUCCCUGCAUGCCACUAGCCUAUGUAUGCUACAUGAAAACACAUCGCUUUCCUGAAACACACCUGCGAAAAGAGGCUCCGGCUAGG